AGCCCCGUACACAAAAAUGCACAUGCUGUGAGCUCGAUGAGUAGGGCGGGACACGUGGUAUCCUGUCUGAAUAUGGGGGGACCAUCCUCCAAGGCUAAAUACUCCUGACUGACCGAUAGUGAACCAGUACCGUGAGGGAAAGGCGAAAAGAACCCCGGCGAGGGGAGUGAAAAAGAACCUGAAACCGUGUACGUACAAGCAGUGGGAGCACGCUUAGGCGUGUGACUGCGUACCUUUUGUAUAAUGGGUCAGCGACUUAUAUUCUGUAGCAAGGUUAACCGAAUAGGGGAGCCGAAGGGAAACCGAGUCUUAACUGGGCGUUAAGUUGCAGGGUAUAGACCCGAAACCCGGUGAUCUAGCCAUGGGCAGGUUGAAGGUUGGGUAACACUAACUGGAGGACCGAACCGACUAAUGUUGAAAAAUUAGCGGAUGACUUGUGGCUGGGGGUGAAAGGCCAAUCAAACCGGGAGAUAGCUGGUUCUCCCCGAAAGCUAUUUAGGUAGCGCCUCGUGAAUUCAUCUCCGGGGGUAGAGCACUGUUUCGGCAAGGGGGUCAUCCCGACUUACCAACCCGAUGCAAACUGCGAAUACCGGAGAAUGUUAUCACGGGAGACACACGGCGGGUGCUAACGUCCGUCGUGAAGAGGGAAACAACCCAGACCGCCAGCUAAGGUCCCAAAGUCAUGGUUAAGUGGGAAACGAUGUGGGAAGGCCCAGACAGCCAGGAUGUUGGCUUAGAAGCAGCCAUCAUUUAAAGAAAGCGUAAUAGCUCACUGGUCGAGUCGGCCUGCGCGGAAGAUGUAACGGGGCUAAACCAUGCACCGAAGCUGCGGCAGCGACGCUUAUGCGUUGUUGGGUAGGGGAGCGUUCUGUAAGCCUG
rnacentral:rRNA from 1 species